rnacentral:rRNA from 1 species
UACGGAGGAUGCGAGCGUUAUCCGGAUUUAUUGGGUUUAAAGGGUGCGUAGGCGGGCUUUUAAGUCAGCGGUAAAAAUUCGGGGCUCAACCCCGUCCGGCCGUUGAAUCUGGGGGCCUUGAGUGGGCGAGAAGAAGGCGGAAUGCGUGGUGUAGCGGUGAAAUGCAUAGAUAUCACGCAGAACCCCGAUUGCGAAGGCAGCCUUCCGGCGCCCUACUGACGCUGAGGCACGAAAGUGCGGGGAUCGAACAGG